GCUGAUUCUCUAUUCAUUCAUACACAGUAACUGUCGAAGAAUUCAGUUGAAUUACGGGGAGAGUGUGAGUGAUGACGACGGCGGCGGCGACGAUGCCAAUUCUCGUCAAUCUUCACGCCGAGAAAUCUAAUCCAAAGUACACUAAAGGUAGGCAAUGCAAAUAUGUUGGCCAAGCAGUGAGACCAAUACCUAUACGGAUAUUGACGGCUGGAAAAAAGAGAUCAGAGGGAGUGCAGCACAUAGUUGACGAUUACAUUCAGAAAAUCAAGCCUUAUUGUUCAGUGGAUGAUGUAAAGAUCAGAUCAAAUCCUAAGAAUGCUCGAGAUACUAAGGCUCAGGUUGAACAUGAAGACACAGCUUUCAUGAGCCUCAUCAAAUCUGAUGACUGGGUUGUGAUGCUGGAUGAGCAUGGACUUGACGUCGAUUCUGAACAAGUAGCUGAGUUAAUUGGAGAUGCCGGGAAUUCUGGAGCGUCAAACUUACUGUUUUGUAUUGGGGGUCCAUAUGGCCAUGGCAUGCAGUUGCGCAAAAGGGCUAACUUGUCCAUAAAAUUAUCAUCAUUGGUCCUAAAUCAUCAGAUUGCAUUGAUUGUGCUGAUGGAGCAACUCUACAGGGCCUGGACUAUUCUUAAAGGCCAAAAUUACCAUCACUAAUCUUAACAGAACGACGCCAACACGAUUCACUCUGCCUGCCUUUCCAUAUGAGGCUGAGCUAUACAUGUCCAUUGUUUGCUUCAGUUGCUGCUUCAACCGUCUCAUUUCUACUUCCACUUCGUCCUGAUAAAGAGAACAAGUAAGAUUAUUUUGUUUUAGAAUUGAACUUGAGAUAUGAGGGACUAACCAUUGCUUGAGUUGAAGAUGAUCUUUCACUGUCAUCUGAAGUUAUUGAAAAUUUGCGUGGAGUGAUCGCCUCUAUUGAUUUCCGUCCUGAGUUAAGAUACUCAAAGCUAUCUCUAUCUCUAUAGCUAUCUCUAUCUCUCUCUGCAUCUAAUAUGCUUGGCUGAAAUGGAGAAUGGGCUCGACCAACAUCAUGACCGUCGUAAAAUGGAGGAUGCAUAUUGUCUAUGCUCGGUCUUCCCCCCGAUACAAAGGAUAUGUCAGUGUCCGGAGGUGGUGGAAAAUCUGCGUAUGAUUUUCCAUUUGGACCUUUCCUAUGAGUGAAAGGAGACCUGCGCAAAGAAUAAGUCGGAAAAAUCUUAAGAGAAAACAAACAAUACGACGACAACUAUGAUGUUCUAAAAGUUCAAUGUUUCUCACUUCAUAGAUUCUAGAUCAUGCAGCAUGUUGGUUGGAUGUUCUGAUUGUGAUCUUGGAAUUCCUGCAAAGAAAUGAUAGUUUCAUUUGAGUUUUA